rnacentral:rRNA from 1 species
GCUUAACGCGAAGAACCUUACCCAGGCUUGACAUCCCUGGAAGGUCUCCGAAAGGAGACUGUGCCUUCGGGAAUCAGGUGACAGGUGCUGCAUGGCCGUCGUCAGCUCGUGUCGUGAGAUGUUUGGUUAAGUCCAUUAACGAGCGCAACCCUUGUAAGUAGUUGAAUUUUCUACUUAGACCGCCUCGGUAACGGGGAGGAAGGAGGGGAUGAUGUCAUGUCAGUAUUGCCCUUACGCCUGGGGCUACAAACACGCUACAAUGGCCGGUACAAAGGGCAGCCAACCCGCGAGGGGGAGCAAAUCCCAUCAAAACCGGUCCCAGUUCGGAUAGCAGGCUGAAAUUCGCCUGCUUGAAGUCGGAAUCGCUAGUAACGGUGAGUCAGCUAUAUUACCGUGAAUACGUUCCCGGGUCUUGUACACACCG